CCCUCAGGUGCCACAUUGGACUGCCACCAUUCUAAGCACAGUGAGCAAUCCCUUCUUGGCAAAAGAUGGACUGGGGAGACCUUGAUGCCAUUUGAUGAGUUUCCUGCAUUACAGUGUGAUUCAUUAAUAGUGUUUGUCCCUUCAAGAAGAAAAUAUUAACUGGGAUGCACUGUACUUGCUGUGGCCAUGGGCUCUGUGAGAGUUGGCACACCAAGAGAUUUCAUGGGUGCCUACCAUAGUGACAGAGAGAGAGACAUCUGAGCAAUACUCCAAAUGGAAUCCCUGACAAGAAGGAAUUUUGAAGCCUGACUUGAGCUCAAGAAUAACCCCAGAAGAAAAAUUCUUCUUCCACCUUCCCUCCAGAAAAGUGAGCUGAGAUGAGAAACAGAAGAACAUGCAGGUUUUGCAAUUUGAGCUGGGCCACGCAGGAGCUCUUUGGCAGAGGAGGCGGCCUCCCGAGGGGUGAGUAAUGUCCUUUUGCCAAUCCCAUUAGACUCCUGGCUGUAUCCUCACACACCUAGAGACAAGCCCAAAUCACCAAACCUGACCCUUCUGGGACUGAUGGCAGCCUUUCACCCCAAUCCCCAGCACAACUCCCAGAGAACUGCAGAGCAGUUCCACUCUGGUUCACUUUGAAGGCUCAGGUCUUAUUUAUGCCACGAGUGUAAGCAUCGUUUUAAUUUGACAAAUACACAGAAAGUACACACACUGCAGUUGUGUGCAGUGUCCUGCAGGAUAAUUUUGCCCUCACAGCUAUGUUUUAACCAGUGUGACUGGAAAAGGGAAUCAGAUGGUGUUUGGCUUCAAAUGUAAGAGCUAAACCCAGAACUUUACCAGGAACCUGAUUAUGGCUUUAGACCCUGAGUCAGCAGCAGGAGUCGAGUAGAGGCAGCCAGGGCAGCCUCAGGGAGGCUGAGCUGAGCAGAGACUCUGUAAAACAGCAGUGAGACCAGGUCUGCUGAACAUCCUUCCUGCUGAGUGAGUCAGCAGCAGUUUAAUUAGGCAUAGCUGGGCAGGGAGCAGCAGUUAUGACAGAAGAGGCUUUAGCUGAUAGGAUCAUUUUCAGUACAAUAAUAUUAAUUAGCAAUUGCGAUAGGGAACAUGAGGCAGGUGGAGCACUUUCUGUCAAGGUAUUUUUGUAAGGAAUUAGCCUGUAUAAACACCCAUUGUAAAUACAUUGUCCUUGUCAGGUGUAAUAACUGCCUGGGCACAUGGCAUCCUUGCUCACAAUGGAAAGAUAAUUAAAGAUGCAAUUCCACACUCCGGUGCUUCUCCCAGCUGCUAAUUGUGUCACUGGAGAAAUCCAAACAAUUAUAGUAGGAAAACACUGGGGGACUGUUAACAGUAAUUUCCAAAAUGUGGACAAUAAAUAGAUUGAGAAAAUGCUGUGAGCGUUGAGCCAGCCUUGGAAAAAGCUAGAGGAAAAACUGUAUUUCUGACGCAAACAUGGAAAUUUGAAAUGGGGGUGAGGUGCCUAAACAUCUUGGAGGAACUUAUACCCUGAGUUUUCUGAAGCCAAAUCCCACCCUAGCCUAGAAAUAAUUUCAUUUUUCACAGCCUUCACAUUUUCCUCAGAUGAACGUUGUUCUUAGAAGCUUAUACAAGGAGGGCGAAUCCUGAAGACAUUACUUAAAGGAAAUUUCUAUUCAUGUCGCUGAAUAUUCACUACUGAUAAUCCUGGUAAUAAUUCUCAUGACAAACCGUGUUACAUUGCAUGUUGUAAUUUAUGAUGUACAGCAAAUAUAAUAUAUUGUAUAACUCAAUAUUACAGGUCUGCGUUACAUACCUGCAAUAUUAUGCUCUGGUAAUUAAACCAAUUAAAGUGCAGUUAUGAGCUCAUUAAACCCAAGAAAUAUGAGAUGUCAAUCAGUUCUGUGUUCAUUGAGAUAAAAUCUUAUCAAAGUCAAAUGGUUCAGGCCUUCAAACCAAGUGUUCAUUUAUGUCUCCAUGUAACACACCUGGAGAACACAACCCAGAAAAUGCCUGUAUAGACAGAUGUGACCUGCACGCACAGUCCCGCUGCACAGGGAACUGCUGCUGGAUAUUUUUACCU